AUCCACUAAGUACACCAAGUAAAGCCUUCCAGAGAGAGUUUACAAAUGGAGCCAAAAAUCAAAUCUCAAAAGUACUAGUCAUCGAUUCAAAGAUCUCCUAAAACUUAACCAAGAGAUACUCAACCCUAUAGCACAAAUCAACCAAAUAGAAACUAAUUAGAGCAGCGAAAUACUGACUCAAGUUUCUGUUACAAUAUAGGAAAAAGAUUUACAAAUCUAUUAAGGAUCAAUAACACAAUCUAUGGAAGAAAAUGAAGAGAUAAAUGAGUAGAGAGAACAAAGAGCCUUUUUCAGAAAUCAGAACUGAAUCUCAAUGCCAAAGGCUAACAAACCAAAUGUGUAAAAGAGGUAACAAGUGAUCACAGCCAUUAAUUAAAAUCAAUGGCUCACUAUAUAGGAGAGAGAGCACAAUAUGGGUUUCGUCUAAUCAUCCACUGAGAAUCAGCCACAUGGAAUAUCACUUAAAAGAGUUGCAUCUUCGAAAACACAAUUUAUCCUUCAAUCUUCACCUUCGUUUCAAAAUGCAAACACUCUCUACAAUAUGCUUAAUGGUGCACUAAAAUGGGAGGUCCAUUAUCGCCGCCCUGUACAUGCAAAGAAAUUACCCUUUAUCGACAUGUAGCAAUGAUAUGCAAAUUCUAAACUUAACAACAGAGAGUACUUUGGUGCCCAUAUCCAGCUCCAGUACUGGAGAAUGUUACUAUUGACUCCAAUUGAGAUUUCCACAUUAUGCAAUUAUCACCAGGUGUAAAAUAAUAUGCCAUAGUAGAUUUUCUUUAAGUUUUAUCAACGGCAAACUCAGUAUCCAUAUAACCUUUUAAGAUCAAUAUACAUGCCUUCUGUAAUGCCAAGGAGAUUUGCUUCCUAUGAAGCAACAGCAUCACCAUCAGGUAGUACAAUCCAUUUUUCCAAGAUUCUUUCAUCACCACGGAUCCUUUCAUGACUUUAGUGUAUUAUUCUCAAAUAUAAAGACAUGUCCUUCAGCUCCAAUGAUUCCCAAGGAUAUGAUUUUUUAUUUUUAUUUUUAUUUAAAUUUUACUUUUUACUUUUUUAAGAUUAUGGACAUAUCCUACAUUACUUACUUGCCUGACAAUACCAACUAGAUGGUCAUGUCCCUAACAUUAAUUACAAUAUGUGAAUUGUUACCACCCAUAUAAACCUGUCUAGGUUCAAUUAUCCUACAGUUGUAAAACCAUGACCCGGACACAUGUGGAAUGUAUAGCCCAAAUCCAAAAUCUAAUCUUGGCUAAUGUCUUCAGAAGACACAAUCAUGACGUGCAAGUUGUCCAAUUCAAUAGCAGCAACUGCAAUGUUCAAUUCCACAUUGUUUUGAUCAUUUUGCUUCUUUUUCUACUCAAAGCAUUGCCCUCUUGAAGUACCCUAACUUCCCACAUCUGUUGAACUUCUUGUUAUUUUAUCCUUUGAUUUCGAUCUCCAUUUUGUUUUAAUUCUGGAAAUUAUUUUCAGUUUUAUAACUCCUACCUCUCACAAACAUACUUUCCUCUCUAGUGUUGGACUUCGACUCUUUGCUAACUUCAAGAUCACCAGACCUUAAGGCAACAAUUAUGAUAGCCUAUGUUAAGGUGCCUUUAGAGUACUUUAUUGCUUUCCUGACAUCCUUAUAGGACUCAAGUAAUGAAAUUGAUAGAAUAAUAGUCGAGUCCUCAUCAUCAAACUUCUUGUCAUUAUGUGGAAGAUUCUUCACUACAAUGCUAAAGUCACUUAGAUUAAUUUCUAAGUCCUUUACAGGAUCUAUCCUAAACCUAAACAAAUUUUCCAACAAGUAAAUUAAUUUUAGCAUUUUCCAACAAGUAAAUUAAUUUGGCAGACUUUUAGUUAGGAACAAUUUAUCAAGUGUUGUCCACAAAGCUUUAGCGGUUUUAGCAUCAUUUACUUGUCUAACAAUAUAAUCAGAUAAAUGCAAUAUUAUAGAAUUGUAGGCAAUGUCAUUCAUUUCUUCAAUUUCAAUAGGUGUAGCUUUCAAAGCAUCAGAAAAUGAUUCACGAACAUCAAUGGCUUUUGCAACCCUUUGUUGGACUAAAAUAGCCCUCAUUUACUGCUUCCAAAUCGAGUAUCCCCCUUUCCAUCGAAUUGUGACAAUUCAUACCCAUAACGGAUUCUAUAAAAGGGCAGUAAGAACUAAAGGCCAUUCCAUAAUCUGUUUCAAAUAAGAAGUAAAAGUUCUGAAAAACAAAUUAAGUUUUACAGAUUUCGGUCAAGAAACACUUUAUGAAAUUAAUCAGUAAAGAAUCCUGUAUUUUAUCAAACAAUUAGAUAAAGGUUUGAUCCAUACAAUAUGAAUGGCAAAUUGCAGCGAGUUGCAGAUAUGACAAUUGAUCAGUAGUGUCCAAUUAUUUUAUCAAUUAAAAACAAUGCAGCCAUGACAAUUACAUAUAUCAAUUAAGGCAUGCAUCAAUGGCUAUAUUCAUACAUAAACUGUAAUUUAAAUUCAGAAGUUAGAACGGUCUCACCAAGAACUAUUGAACAGCAGUUAUAAUUUCAAAAACCACAAUUGAAAACAAGUUAUGAAGUGCCAAUAGCCAAGAACCAUAUUAAUCAAUUCCAAUCUCGUACUCAGGUGCUGAAUGUCAAUUGCCUAAGAAAAAUAGCCACAGAACAUAAAAUUAGUACAAUCACAGCAAUUACGGAACACAUUUGUACUAAUGUUUUUCAAGAAAACGGUUGAAUCAAGAAUGGUUAUGUUCUGCAGAUCCUUUUCAAGAUCUGUAGAGAUCGAAAAACAAUUAUUAAAAAAAAAAAUUGAUUCAAAGGUUUUGUAAAAACAAAAAUUUUCCCAAAAGCCCAACAAGGCUCCGAUACCAGUUGAAUGGAUUUUCUUUUUCCCAAUUGAUAAAAACAGAUGUAGAAACGAUAAUAUGCAGAAACAUAAACAACGCAAGAACGCCAAAAAUGUUGACCAAAUUCGGCUAUUGCUUAAUUUGGGGGCUCAACUACCAGCCCAAUUGACUAAGUGCACCAAGGAAAGUCUUCUAGAGAGAGAGUUUACAAAUGGAACCAAAAAUCAGCACAAGUUCUAAUCAUCGAUCCAUAGAUCUCCUAAAGCUUAACCAAGAAAUACUCGACCCCUAUCACACAAAUCAAACGAACAGGAAAUAAUUAGAAAAGCCAAAUACGGACUCAAGCUUCUAUUACAAUAUGCGAAAAGGAUUUACAGAUCUAUUAGGUAUUAACAACACAAUCUAUGGUAGAAAAUGAAGAGAUCGCUCGAGAAAGAACAGAGAAAACAGAAAGCCUUCUUCAGAAAUCAGAACUGGAUAUCAAACUUUACAUUUCAACCCUCAUUUCAACAUUAUUUUACGGAGUUGAUCCUUUCCAUUGUCCAUUCCUUCUAUCAGAUAUGGAUAAUUCAUGUCUAACCUGGGGUAUGGUAUUGUGAAAUUCCAGUUUGACUAGUUAAUAUUCGCACUAACCCAUUGAAUGGUAAAAGGACAAAAUUACCCUUAAUUACAUUAUACAAUUAUAAAA
rnacentral:lncRNA from 1 species